rnacentral:rRNA from 1 species
GACGAACCUGACGAACGUUAUUCGGAAUCACUGGGCUUAAAGGGUGCGUAGGCUGUGCAGGAAGUUGGGUGUGAAAUCCCUCGGCUUAACCGAGGAACUGCGCCCAAAACUACUGUGCUUGAGUGAGAUAGAGGUGAGCGGAACUUAGGGUGGAGCGGUGAAAUGCGUUGAUAUCCUAAGGAACACCGGUGGCGAAAGCGGCUCACUGGGUCUCAACUGACGCUGAUGCACGAAAGCUAGGGUAGCGAACGGG